GCCCCCGUAGCUCAAUUGGACAGAGCGUCGGCCUUCUAAGCCGAAAGUUGCAGGUUCGAGCCCUGCCGGGGGCA
rnacentral:tRNA from 1 species